rnacentral:rRNA from 1 species
GGACCCGCACAAGCGGUGGAGCAUGUGGUUUAAUUCGAAGCAACGCGAAGAACCUUACCAAGUCUUGACAUCCUUCUGACAGCACCUUAACCGGUGCGUCCCUUCGGGGCAGAAGAGACAGGUGGUGCAUGGUUGUCGUCAGCUCGUGUCGUGAGAUGUUGGGUUAAGUCCCGCAACGAGCGCAACCCUUAUCUUUAGUAGCCAGCAGUUCGGCUGGGCACUCUAGAGAGACUGCCGGGGAUAACCCGGAGGAAGGUGGGGAUGACGUCAAAUCAUCAUGCCCCUUAUGAUUUGGGCUACACACGUGCUACAAUGGCGUAAACAAAGAGAGGCAACCCCGCGAGGGUGAGCAAAUCUCAAAAAUAACGUCUCAGUUCGGAUUGUAGUCUGCAACUCGACUACAUGAAGCUGGAAUCGCUAGUAAUCGCGAAUCAGAAUGUCGCGGUGAAUACGUUCCCGGGUCUU